rnacentral:rRNA from 1 species
ACGUACGCUGGCGGCACGCCUAACACAUGCAAGUCGAACGAAGUAGCAAUACUUAGUGGCAGACGGGUGAGUAACACGUGGGAAUCUGCCCUUUUGUUCGGGACAACAGUUGGAAACGACUGCUAAUACCGGAUACGCCCUUCGGGGGAAAGGUCCGCCGCAGAAGGAGGAGCCCGCGUCCGAUUAGCUUGUUGGUAAGGUAAUGGCUUACCAAGGCGACGAUCGGUAGCUGGUCUGAGAGGAUGAUCAGCCACAUUGGGACUGAGACACGGCCCAAACUCCUACGGAGGCAGCAGUGGGGAAUCUUGC